AAGGCAUACACCCCGUCCAAGGACAAGCUCCUUUGUGAGUGUUGGAGGGAUAUUGGGCAAUACCCCAAGGUCAGCGCUGAACAAAAGGCAUCAACCUUUUGGAUUCGUGUGCAUCGCGAGUACCAUGAACGCAAGAAGUUUGCGCCAUACCAAAUGCAAAGCAACCAUGGGUGGGUGUCCCUCUUGAAGCGAUGGAGGGUGAUACAACAAGAGUACAACAAGUUUUGUGCCACCCUUGAGACCAUCAAGGCACGCCCCAUGAGCGGCAUCGGCAUGCAAGAUAUGGUAUACAUGUGCCCCUCUUCGUAUCCGUUUCUGUUUUCGUUUAUGCUUGCAUGUCCAUUUUCCCAUAUGCUUGCAUGCUAUUCAUUUGUAGGCAUUCCAGGCUUUGGAGGCAUUCAAGGUCCAACAUGA
rnacentral:rRNA from 1 species